AUUGAACGCUGGCGGCAGGCCUAACACAUGCAAGUCGAGCGAGCGGCGGACGGGUGAGUAAUGUAUGGGGACUGCCCGAUAGAGGGGGAUAACUACUGGAAACGGUGGCUAAUACCGCAUACUGUCGGAUGACCCAUAUGGGAUUAGCUAGUAGGUAAGGUAAUGGCUUACCUAGGCGACGUUCCCUAGCUGGUCUGCGAGGAUGAUCAGCCAAACUGUGACUGGGAAACGGCCCAGACUCCUACGGAGGCAGCAGGGGGGAAUAUUGCACAAUGGGCGCAAGCCUGAGGCAGCCAGGCCGCGUGUAUGAAGAAGGCCCUAGGGUUGUAAAGUACUUUCAGUCGGGAGGCGUUACCGACAGAAGAAGCAACGGCUAACUCCGUGCCAGCAGCCGCGGUAAUUC
rnacentral:rRNA from 1 species